rnacentral:lncRNA from 1 species
AAAUUCUGGAGAAAUUAUUCAAAGUAGUCCUAAACUGUUCAUCCUAUCCUGCCUUACCCUUCUCUCAGAAACCCCAACAAAGGCCAUGCCUUACAACUUACCUUGCUCCUGUUUCUGCCUCCUGACCACUCUGGUCUUCCCCAUGUUGCCAUGUAUGGCAUGCCUCCUGUCUCUAGGACCUAUGCAGCAAAAGAGAAAAACAAUGAAAGUCUGUAUUAGUAACCAGAAAAACGGUCAGAAGUCUGAGGUACCUGAGAGAAGACAGCAAAAUGAGAUCUGGAAUUUGAGGAGCACCUGUUAGGAGAAGAGCCAUCUCUACUGUAAGCACAAGCAACACAGAGGGAGUGGGGAUGUCAGGAGGGUAUCCCAAGGACAACAUACAGGAUUUUGUCAUAUUCUUCCUCCAAAGAUCACAGAAAACUUGUGAUCCAUAUCCACUAUUUUUUGUUCCAAGUCUCUGAUAAGCAAGUCAUCCAAUCCAUGUUAAAACAGGCUGGAUUCUUGCAUCAUAAGACGUUAAUUUAUAUUUUUACAAGAUCCUUUUAGCUGC